AAUUGGUGGCUGAAGACACCGACCAGAGACUUUUCUCAACCUUUACCGUUUAACGGUCUGUUGUCUCAAGCCCGAGGUAGUAGCACUACUAGGGCUUUUGACCAUUUAUUAGCCAGGGAGCUGCUGUCCUCGUCCUCGGCCCACAAUGCACCGCUAGUGAGCCGAGCAGAGAGCGCAUCAGUAAGGCCAGCAGGCGGCGCAGAGAGACCACGUGAAGACCGUGAUCCAGAACAUUCACUGGCCUCAACCUAAAUCUGACAGCGAUGAGGACGACCCUGUUAUGUUGGAGAAAGUCGGUCUCGUCACUGGGAUUUGAAGAAAUUCAUAGAGGAAGGCAAUGCUCUUCUUAUUUCCUCUUGUAUUACAUUUCUCAUCUUAAAUUUGCACUUAGUUAUUUGGGUGCUAGGACUGCUAAGAAUGGACAAAAGUGUAGCGCAGCUGAAGAGAUGGCAGUUCUGAUGCUAAGUAAUAUGCACACAAUUAGGGGUACAGAUUUAAAUCUGUGCAUGGUGUAUGCAAUAUUUUGGCAAGUUUUAUGUGCUCAAAUUUCAAGUUUUGAUGAAAUGCAUUAGAGGUGUCGCAUGC